rnacentral:rRNA from 1 species
AUUGAACGCUGGCGGCAUGCUUUACACAUGCAAGUCGAACGGUAACAGGCCUUCGGGUGCUGACGAGUGGCGAACGGGAGAGUAAUGCAUCGGAACGUACCCAGAGGUGGGGGAUAACGCAGCGAAAGCUGUGCUAAUACCGCAUGUGAUCUGAGGAUGAAAGCGGGGGACCGAGCAGCAAUGUUUGGCCUCGCGCCUUUGGAGCGGCCGAUGUCGGAUUAGCUAGUUGGUGGGGUAAAGGCCUACCAAGGCGACGAUCCGUAGCUGGUCUGAGAGGACGACCAGCCACACUGGGACUGAGACACGGCCCAGACUACUACGGGAGGCAGCAGAGGGGUAUGUUGGACAAUGGGCGCAAGCCUGAUCCAGCAAUGCCGCGUGCGGGAAGAAGGCCUUCGGGUUGUAAACCGCUUUUGGCAGGAACGAAACGGUGUCCGCUAAUACCGGGCGCUAAUGACGGUACCUGCAGAAUAAGCACCGGCUAACUACGUG